rnacentral:rRNA from 1 species
AUUGAACGCUGGCGGCAGGCCUAACACAUGCAAGUCGAACGGUAACAGGAAGAAGCUUGCUUCUUUGCUGACGAGUGGCGGACGGGUGAGUAAUGUCUGGGAAACUGCCUGAUGGAGGGGGAUAACUACUGGAAACGGUAGCUAAUACCGCAUAACGUCGCAAGACCAAAGAGGGGUACCUUCGGGCCUCUUUCCAUCGGAUGUGCGCAGAUGGGAUUAGCUAGUAGGUGGGGUAACGGCUCACCUAGGCGACGAUCCCUAGCUGGUCUGAGAGGAUGACCAGCCACACUGGAACUGAGACACGGUCCAGACUCCUACGGGAGGCAGCAGUGGGGAAUAUUGCACAAUGGGCGCAAGCCUGAUGCAGCCAUGCCGCGUGUAUGAAGAAGGCCUUCGGGUUGUAAAGUACUUUCAGCGGGGAGGAAGGGAGUAAAGUUAAUACCUUUGCCCAUUGACGUUACCCGCAGAAGAAGCACCGGCUAACUCCGUG